UCUCACGCUCGCUCUGCUCUAUCACAUAAUACCACUUCUGCAGCUCCCUGCGAAUAAUCAAACCACUUCUGCAGAUCCCUGCGAACAAUCAAACAAUCAAACCAGCGUCGCAACCGCAAACCACCAAAAGGUUUCGAAAUUUGUUGGAUGAUUCGUAGUGGUGUUUAGAGAGAGAUAAUACUGAACGUUUGAAUUGUUGCAAGCAGCAGCAGGUUAGGUACUCUCAAUUUCCUCAAAUGGCUAGUAUCCAUGAUGAGCCGGAAAUUUCUCCCGAGGAGGAGGAGCAUAUGAAGAACAUGGCUAGAUACAGGGACCAUUUGAUAGCAAAAACAAUUGAGCGAAGAGAACGUGCUGCCAAAGAGGCUAUAGCUGCGGGGGCGCGAGCCCGAAAGUUACAAUCACAAAAUCACCCAAUAUGAUUGGCUCCUUCUUCCCCCAAGCAUACUCAAUUAACCAAUAUCGUAUGACGAGCUCAGGAGAUGGUCAUUGCACGUCAAGUGCUCCCAAGGAAGCCACUAGUGCCAAUAAGGAAGCUAAUGGAGUGGAGGGUAAAACUGUUUGAAAAUGUUUAAAGUCCAUUCCCUGUUGCCUCGUGAAGGAAAGGUAGUUAUGCACCAGUCUUCUCUCAUUUGGCAGAAGUCUGCUCUGGUUUCUUUUUUGUCCCAUUCAAAUUCUUUUGUACAUACUGUAAUCUGGAUAUUUCUAACGCACAGAGUCCGUUUUGGUUCAUUAUCAGUAUUCAAUUCAGUCUCGUGUUUAACUAUUUUCUACCGAAUGUAUGCAUCACAUGCUUUGGUGAUUGGCGUAAGGAUGGAUCUUAAUCCAUCACAAACUGUUAUUGGUUGCGGUCCUUGAUCUUUAACGUUACAAUAUUUUACAUACAUCUUUAAAUAUAUGUUAGCAUCGCCAGUGGCAGAGCCAGGCCACGGUUUUUUAUUUGAAAUGAUAUUUGUUCCCAAUAAUUUUGGGUUUGGAUGGA